GGGUAAAGCUAGGGGUAUCUGGAGUUCCAGAUUGAGAGAGUCCCUUAGAACCUGAUUCGGUUAACACCGACGGAGGGAAGCUUUGCCAGUUUCUA
rnacentral:ncRNA from 2 species